AGCAUGAUACACAAACAUGAGAAAAUUGCCUGGAAUCUUAGGAUAACUGAACAAAGUCCCGAGUAAUUUGACACCAGAGUUUAUGUUCCUACAUACCGGAAGACAUUUUCUCCACCCUGUUAGCUUCCGUCUCUCAUCUCAACAGUCUCCUGUGGAAGACAGACUUCUGGCUGGCCUUGGAGCUCACCAUGCAGACCAAGACAUCUGCUUCCUGUGUCUAAAGAAACAGAAACACAACCUCCUCACUUCUGGUGAGAGCAUCCCCAGAGAAGUCAGCAGCUCCUGCUGAGUCAGGUGGACAUUGAGCUGAGUCUUAAGAAGCAAAAUCCUGGGACCCUUCCCACCCACCCCACUUAUGACUCAGGCGAGAGUGAAUUGCUGACCUGUCUUGGAUGCCCCUGUGAAGGAAGUCUCUGGAGAAGGUCUGUACCGUGAUCCAGGAAUCUCAAGAGACGGGGCAAAGACUGCAAAUGAGUCUCCCAGAGAAGCAGCAGAGUCUGGGAGCCAACGGAAACACCUGUGAGCAAAGCUACCCACAGCUGUCUCCUCUCAGGUCCUCCAGAUUUAGAGGAAGGAAAGAGGAAGCCCUGGGGGUUGCAGUUGACUACCAGGAACUUAGAAGCACAGGCUGUGUCCCAACUCUGUUGUAGGGAAGGCCUAGGCAAGUUGCUGUUUUUCACCCUGCAGGCUGGUCUCUUUAGUGGUAAGAUAAAGUAGCAUGGACCCGUGACCAUCAGGAGAACUCAGCAUUCUGUGACUUGGGGAGAUCUGUAAGGAGGACACUGCCUCUAAUGCUAUUUCUUCCAACCAUCCUCAACCCAGGCUAUACAUUUCCCAGAAGUCUUCUGUCCUGCAGCCUUGGGAAUGGUGCGUGCUUCUAAGCACAGGGAGAGUGGAGGUAAUGGUGCAUUGUGCUUCUGCUCUGCUCACAGAAACACCAAGCUGGAGGACAUUGCAGAAAAGGAUAUGCUCUGGAACAGAUACCCUGAGACACCUCUGUCCAUUGGCUAACAAGUAAUACUUUCUCUUGCAUCAAAGAAUAAGGAAAGUGAAGAAAAACCAAAACGAAACUCAAAUUGUUACAAUAAUUGGCAGAUUUUGAGGGUAUGAUAGACAAGGCUUAAUGUUUAAUGGCUUCUUCCAAAUGAGAAGAUUUGGUUGUUGGUCACUCCCCAGUCUCUGGCAAAAUACUUUGCCACCAAACUAUUAGGAUAAGAAUCAUAAAGAAAGGAAUGAGAAGGUGUGUGAUUCCCACUCAUGCAAGAGUCCUGGGGUCCAGAUAUCAUAAUAGCUUCUUAUCCACACCACAGUCUCAAUCACCUGCCCACUUAACAGCCUCUAAAUGCCAAGGGGAAAAGUAAAACCAAUGGCGGAUGGUCAGAGGGGAAAGGAUCUUCAGAAAUUCUUGAGAGGUGGAGAAAGGGGAGGGAUGAAAGGAAAUUCCCACAGGAAAAAAUGCUCCACUUGGAAUGGAUGGGCCAAGUAAUCUCGUGCCCUGUGGAGACCCUCACACCAAGUGACCCUUGUCACUUCCCCCUUUGCGAUUCCCACCAUGCCUUUCUUGUGUGGCUCUGCAGUACCUCUUAGCUUGUAUACCCUCCAUUCUGUUUCUGAGCAAUAACUUUAUAAAGCAGACUGUAUAUAUAGUCUGUGUACUGUUCUCACUACUGUGCCAACUACGGGCAGAACUUCACUCUGUUUCCUUUGAGCUCUUCAGAAGAAAAAGGAUAUAAUAGUGGCAGACUAUGUAUCCAGAGAUCAUGCACCAGCAGCUGAAUGUUCUGGUGUGAAACGAGGCUGAGAAGAAGUUGUGGAAGGCUGAGAAGAAGCUUAGUCUGGUCAUAUGAACUAUAUGUAUAUCCUGUGUGAGGUAAGGAUAAGCCCCUAGAUUCCCCAUGUUAUUCCCUGGAACUUGGUCUGUGCCUAUCUGCUUGCUUCGGGAUCUCGAUAACCUGGUUGUCAUUCCCAUAUGCUGAGAAAGCCAUUCGGGAAGUUGUUGUCCAUUUCCCAGCUCGUGCAAUCAUCAAUUUGCAAAACCAAAGCCCAUCCUACCCUGCCCCACCAGAUUUUAUCUGACCCCAAACAAUUAAGGGACCCACACUGGUCAUUUGCAUGGCAUUUUGGAUUCCCCCAAAGUAAGAUGGAAAUAAAAUCCUUCAUCUUUGAAAGAUUAGCUCAAAUAACCUCACAGUGAUUUUUCAGCCCUGUUAGUCCAUAGAAUGCUUACAAAUCCCUUCACUAGACACUAGACAAGGCCAUUAAUGAUAUAGCUGACAAGAAAUUAUUCAAAGGAAUUCGGUACUAAAACUCUGGAAUUUGACCCAAAUUUGAACAGUGGACAGCCUGAUUUCAUCUAAGUCCGGCCUCAUGUUUUUCUGAUUCUCCUUCAGUUAGCCUGAUAGGAGAUAUUUUUGUUUAGAGCAAUGGAUGGAAGAGAGUUGCUUUAUUCCACAAAGCCAAGCAAGUCACUUAUACAUUUAGAGACCCCCGUUUCAGGAGCCCUAUGACCAUGGGCGUCUACAUACAACACUAACAGUCCAAGCAGAGAUCUAGCAGACAUAGGUACAGGGACCAGAUGUCUCCUUUGCCUUCCCCUAUCUAUGAAGAGUUCUAGAGUGUGCCCUGAGACAUUUCAUCCCUAAGACCCCUGUUUAUAUUUUCUACAGUUGACUCCACAGAAACUGGGUGUUCCAGCCACAGCUCCCUAUUUCUGACGCAGACUUCUAGUAAUGUACAUUCUUCCUUUUUCUCUUUGCCCAGGAUUUCCUAUAUUUCUAAAUCAGCAGCUGUCCACAUCUGGCAUCACCAAGAUUUUCUUGAUUUGUCACCGCCUAGUCUUCUAGAAGAUGACGGAUUCUGCCAAUUCUAAUGAUGCCCCUCAUUUUUUCUAUCUUCGCUUUAGAAAAAAAAUGACAAAUGGCUUUUGUUAACUCUACUUUAGCCAGAAAAUCCAUUGCACGAAUUAAUGUCAUUCCACUGUGUCUCCAUAAUGCUCCAGUCUGAUUUCACGUCACCAAGAUGUCACUCUUUGGUCCUUAGCUUCUUUCCUUCAGAGCUACCAUCUCUGUUUGAUCGGUCACCUUCUGUCCAUGGUUGCUUUCAGACUCCACAGAGGGGUGAGGCAAAGAAUUAAAUGAGUUUCCCAUUAGCUUCCCAUUCUCUAAACUGUCUAACUUUACCUCGCUCCCAAGAGAGACUUAAACCAAACAACCGGGCUGUGAUUCAGCCUCUAACCUCAUGUUUUGUGACAUUAUGACUGCCCGAGACACUGUACACUCAUUUUUUUCUAUUCUUAACAUAAAUACUAAACUGUUGCUUAGAUCUGGGCCCGCAUCCAACCAUUGAUAGAUAAAGAAGUUACUUGAAAGAUAUGUGAGUCAACCUCUAGUAGAAGAUGAUAACAUUAUUUCUCAGCAUGUAAGUCAUAUCCCCUUCCCACCAGCUACAAUUAUAUUAAUAAUCUCUGGUAAGUGAGAUAACUUAUAACGCUCAGCUUACUUCAAGAAAAAAAAAUAGUAGAUAUGCCUACAGUAAAAUAAUAUGUUUUGGAGUAGCAAUACCUUUGAAAUUAUAAUGGAACAUUGUCCAUGGAAAGCUACAGUCAUGUGAGUGAAUUUCUUUAAUCUUUACUUACAUUUAUUCCCCCUUUAUGUCACCACUUGAUCCCUAGGGCCACCUCACAGUGACCUACUAUCACUUACAAAACCAGAUAUGAUCUGGUAUCUGUCUAUAUCUGCAACAUCGUCUGCUGUUCUUCAGCUCUUGGUCAUAUUUUUAACAUGGUGACUUGACCUAAAAUAUAAAAUGCCCUUCCCUACCACAAUCCCUAACAACCUUCACACAUGGUCUUGCUUUCACCCAGAGGACUCUACAUCCUCCUGAAAUUUUAAGAUAUCGUUGACUCAAUAAGAUGCCUUAUUUCUUCAAAGAAGCUCCUCUCGGACCACAGGUGGACUCACAGGUUAACGCACAUCUCUAGCCUUGUCUCCCUGUACUGAACUGAUUAUUUCUUAAGAGACUUACCCCAUCUUUUCCAGAGAAGUAUCCACCCACUUUUAGAUUUCAUGUCUUAUUUAGGUGGGGCUCUAUGUGAUACAGUUAUUGGCAUAGAGAUGCUUUCAUGACUCAAUCAUACCUUGUUUGUGAAUGCUGGAAUGAAGAUUUCACAGUCUUUUCUUUCCACCUUAGAGAUGAGACCUAAAAUCUGGGUCUAUCAAGUCUCCUGAAGCUUUCUGAAAAUAGUGAAUACCCCAUAGUACAGAGCAAUGAUGUGGAGAAAGAGAACCCAUAGCCAGACAACAGUGUGGUUCACUGCCACUGCCUGAUGAGGCCAAGGACAUCAACUUGUUAUGGGUGUAAGCGAGCAAAGGUCUCCUUUUUUAAAAUUUAACUUAAUGCAGUUUGGUUUUCUUCCCACUGCACAAGUCCGUGUGAGGGUCUGUAUUUUCUUGCAUUUGGCAAGUACCCUGGGGUAAGCAUUUGUUCAAUUUAUGUCUUGUGCUCCAGAAUGUCUCACUGACUCUCCCAUUUCUAGGGCAGUGUAAACACAUUGUAAAGUGUCACUGAACACUUCUGAGUAAAGGCAAGGUGAAGGGAUGGGUUACUCUGAGAUUCCAAUAGCCAACAAGUGUUUCCAUUCCAACGGCCUGGCUAAGUAUGAGUCUUGUUCUGCAACUUGUGGUGGAUGUGAUGCUCUGUCUUUGGAAGGGUUGACAUUUUCAAUUUUGCUGCACUCGCUCACCUCAAGAUGUGUAACAUAUCUGGGUUUGCCUUGUUGUUGGUCCAACUCAGUCGGUUCUAAGCUAAGGCAGCUUAGAAAAAACAGGAGUACUAUUGAGAUCUCCCUCUGAACUGGUCUUUUCAAGGAAUAAGUAAGAAUUUAAAUUAAGAACAUUAAAAGCAACCUAUAGCUGAUCAGUCUUGGUGGGGUCUCAGUUGUAGGCUUAAGGCUGCAAAAUUCAGCAACUCUAAAUAUUAUAGGGUUUUGACCUUAAACUGGGGCCUGUUUUCCUAUAGUUCUACGGUUGGCUUUUAACUAGCACAGGCAGCAAAAGCAGAAGGCCUUAGAGGAAAACCAUAUGGAGUUUUGACCUUUGUGGGCCACUGUAGUUUAUGGGAGUUUUGUUCACAGGUGAAUAGCUUUUCCUAGCACUCACAAACCUCAACACAAUGACAGAUAAAACAGGAUGUGGGGUUGACUUGUUAAACAUAUGUGAUCUGUGUUCAGUCUGACAAGGAUUUGAUCAAAGGAAAAAGCCAAUAGUGGGCUGUAGGCACCAUGGCUGUAAGGGAAGAGAAGGGGCAUACAGAACAAUUAUUCACUGGUCCAACUGAGUUUCUAAGUGGAGAACGUAAAUAUAGAUGUUAAACUUCAAAUGUCCUUACUGACUGUGUGUGCCACAGAACAUACUGUCUAGUGCCUACUUUUAGACUAGAAGUCACAGACAAUCUUACAUCAAACAUACAUAAUUCUGUCCAUUGUUGCUACUGUUUUGAAGGAAUUUUACAUCCAAGAGAAGGAAAUGUGGCUGGAAUAAUGUUGAAUUAAUGUUACCUACGGAUGCUAGAGUCACCUUCAUUAAUGAUGAAGUUUAGAAAAAUAAUUUCAGACUUUGGAGUCAUUUAAGCUGUGCUCAUGCCCUGCCCCUUUCACCCAAAAAAAGAAUAGCAUUUCAGGAAACAAAGAAGAAGAAAAGAACAUUGAAUAUUAGAAUGACAGAGAUGAAAAAGACAUGAAAUUAGUGUUAAACUGGCUGCUAGAAGAGGACUUAAAAUAUUUGUAUUACAAAAUGCUUGCAGGCACCUAGAGAAUGCAAGGUCAGGGAAGAGCUGACCAGUUGGUAUCCCAAACUACACGGUCAUCUAUGAAAACAUACAUAUAAAUAACAUCAUUCAGACUAAGCUGGUUUCACCUAGGAAUAUGUGUAUAUAUACAUAUAUGUCAUCAUAUACUUACACAUAUCCAUACAUAUUAUACAUUAUAUAUAAAUUCUAUGCAUGCACAUUUCAUACAUAUAUAUUGUAUACGCAUACAUUAUGUACACAUAUAUCAUAUAUACACACAUAACAUACAUCUACAUAUGCAUUAUAUAUUACAUAUAUAUUAUGCAUACUAUAUAUACAUAUGCACAUUCAUAAAAAAGAGUUCAUGCAUGUGAAGGACAAGGAGAGAUAUAUGAGAGUUCCUGGAGGGAAGAAGAGGAAGGGAGAAAUGUAGUAAUUAUAUUAUAAUGUCAAAAAUAAAAAAGACGUUUGCUGUCUAGUAAUGAAGUCUGUGUGUAAAGUCCAAGAGGACUUCAGAGAAGGGAAACAUGAUGUGCUUGGAUCAAAUAAACAGGAAAGAGCAAGGAAGUACUUCUUAAUUUUUGUAAAGAGGGGAAAAAGACAAAAAUGGGGUGACAUUUCCUGUCACUAUCAUAGGAGAACAUUCUUGAGAGACUCUUCCAAGGAGUCUCCAGUUUUCUUGGAGAAUUCAACUUGCCUUUCACAACGCCAUUAGCAUGGGGACAUCAGGCUGAGUUGGGUAGUUUGAUCCAGUAAAAAAGAUAAUCCCCAAGGCAAUAGCUUUGUUGUGCUGGAGGCAAAGGGUAAUUCAUUGUCUAUUCUAAUUGUUCUUUAAUGCCUUGAAUACAUCUGGCUCCUCAAACAAGUCCCCUUUGAGCUGCUUCACCAUGUAGCAUGGACCUUCAAUAAUGAAAUAACAUAGAUUCAAAAGGGCAUCUCUGUGUAUGUGAGUGGGAACCGUGCUCAAGUUCUGGAAGUUAUUCCUUUAUAGUUUUGGAGGUCCCAUGGAGGUGCAGCAUAGCUCAGCCUUACAGAUUGCAUAAGAUGCAUAAGAAUGCAUCUGAUGGAUUGUUUAAGGUCAGGAAUGUAUUCUCUGGGUUUCCAGAAUGAUUCCGAAAUGUCAUCUACACGUGUUAUAUAUAAACUUCACCUGUCCUGACUUUUUUUUCCCAAUUAGUUUUUUUUUUCCUUUUAUUAAUCCAGUGGGCCAGCUUUGGUUCUGGGUGUGCUCUGUGUAUGGGGAACUGGCAUUGUUAUCCAAUCACUUGUUGAUCUCUACAGUGAAAAUGCAAUGGAGAACCCGAUCUGUUAAUUUUUGCUUUUCCCUUUAUCCACAAAUAAAUGUGUGUUUCCUGCAGAGAGAGUCAAAUCUAUGAGAUCUGGGUACAGUGAAUAGCUGUGGACUUAUUUGAAUUCAGGCUAAUGUUCAAGAACCAAAGUUGUAUAAGUUAAAAAUAAAUAAAAACAAACAAGUAUAUGAGCUUUUUCCUUUCAACUCUUGCAAUAUAUUUUUAAAAAUCAAUAAAAAUGGGACAUGAUUAAUGGUACACUAUCCAACCAAAAAUACAUGGGAUUAUGUCAUUUUCAGCAACACAGAUGUAACUGGACAUUAUGUUAAGUAUUUGGGCCAGAUAUAAAGACAGAUACACCAAGUUCUUACUUAUACAUGGAAGUUUAAUAUUUGACCUCCAAGAGAAGAAUAGAAUAAUGCUUACCAGAGUCUUUGAUUGAGAGGGACAGAGAGUAACUUUACAAGUACAGGAGUACAAGUGGAUAUGAGAAAUAAUCUUUAGUAUUGUCUACACUAUAAAAAUAGCUGUGGCUAAUUAUAAUUCUUUAACACAGCUAGUAGAGAGGAGUUUUGAAUGUUCAUGAUAAAUUUCUGAGCUGAUGGGCCAGUUACCCUAAACUGGUUCUUAUACAUUUGUCUACAUGUUCUGAACCAUUUUAUCAUAUUUCAUAAAUUGAAUAUUUUCACACAUACAUAAAAUAGGUAGAGUCUUUUAAAAUAAAGAAGUUUCACCGAAUUGCUUUACAUAAAUCAAAUAGUUCACAAAACUUAGAGUAUUUUUCUAGGAAAUUAAGACCAGAAUAAAUAUACUCAUAAGUGAAUAAAGCAUCCUAUUUGUCAAAACUGACAGCUUGGAAGUCUGUCCACAUUAAAGUUCAAGUUUACAUAAUUAAAGUGAAUAUUUAAGUAGGUCAAUUUAGUCAUUUUGCUUGAAGAUUACCUAUAAAAUUCCCCUAAUCGUAAUAAUAUCAAGUAUAAUUCAAAGACAUAUCUUAUUUCCACGAGACCUUAGCACUACCUGAAAUUAUUCUAAUAGCUCACUUACUUAUCAAAUUAGCUAACGUUACUCCCAUGGAAUCACUAAUCAUAAAAAUUAUUAAAUGUGGAUUUGGUUAAAUGCAUAGGUACAUUUUUAAUAUAUUUAUAAUGUUUCAGGUUUUGAAACUGCCAGGAUCCAUACUUGACUCUGUGUGUGUGUGUGUGUGUGUGUGUGUGUGUGUGUGUGUGUGUGUGUGUGUAUAGUGUGUGUGUGUAUAGUGUGUGUGUGUGUGUGUGUGUGUGUGUAGUGUGUGGUGUGUAGUGUGGUGUGUGUGUGUUUAUGUGUGUGUGUAUGUGUGUGUGUGUGUGUGUAGGUGAACUUUAGUUUCAUGUUAGUUUCAUGUUUUUGCAUGUCAUGAAGUAAUAAUAUUUCCAAGUCAGGUGAAUGAACAUGUUUUUUCCUAUUUUCUAAGGAUAUAAAAGGGUCUGUGCUGUCCAAUUUUAUCUGACCUUGAACCAAGCUGGAGUCAUCUGGGAAGGGGGAACCUCAGCUGAGAAAAUACCCCUUCCUACCAGAUUGGCCUGCGAACAAGCCUGUAGUACACUGUCUUGACUGAUGGUUGAUAGAGGAGGGCCCAGCAUGGUGCUGCCCCCUGGGCUGGUGACCUUGGGUUCUCUAAGAAACCAAGUUGAGUAGGCUAUGAGACCCAAGCCAAUAAGCAGCAUAGUCCCCCACAGACUCUGCAUCAACUCCCUCCUCCAAGAUCCUGUCCUUUCCUCAGUGACGCUCUGGUACCUGGGAGUAUAAGAUUAAAUAAAUGAUUUUCUCCACAAGUUGCUUUAUCACAGUAAUAAAAACCCUCACUGAGAUAAUGUUGCAUUCAGUUCUAGCAGGUACUGUGGUAUGUGUCUCGUCCUUACAAGUCUACUGAAACACGCACUAUGCAUGCACAAUUAUCAAUUAGGUCCGUUAGCCCUAUGAAUAUCAAAGGUGGUUAAUUUACUUGUAAGUUGUAGCUGCUAUUGCUGAUCAAUACUAUGCUGGCACGCACAGUGACUACUUUCUGAAGUAGACUGUGUUUAUUUCAGUGUUUCACUGUCAGUGUAAAUAAUAUACAGUUAAGCUAUAUGAGUGUGUAAGAGUCGUCCAAAUAUCAACAGGAAAUGGUCUGUACAAAGAGAUAUUUGUUUUCUGUUUGUAUUCAUCAUACAACAUCAGAAUGGACUGACUAAAUAACUCUGCCGUUAAGAGUCCUUGCUCUGUCAUGAAACUCAAGAGGGAUGACCAAAAUGCGAAUGCUUCACUCCUUCUUUAAAAGGGGAACAAGAAUACCCUUGGCAGGGAAUAGGGAGGCACAGUUUAGAACAGAGGCAGAAGGAACACCCAUUCAGAGCCUGCCCCACAUGUGGCCCAUACAUAUACAGCCACCCAAUUAGAUAAGAUGGAUGAAGCAAAGAAGUGCAGGCAGACAGGAACCGGAUGUAGAUCUCUCCUGAGAGACACAGCCAGAAUACAGCACAUACAGAGGCGAAUGCCAGCAGCAAACCACUGAACUGAGAUCGGGACCCCUGUUGAAGGAAUCAGAGAAAGAACUAGAAGAGCUUGAAGGGGCUCAAGACCCCAUAUGAACAAUAAUGCCAACCAACCAGAGCUUCCAGGGACUAAGCCACUACCCAAAGACUAUACAUGGACUGACCCUGGACUCUGACCUCAUAGGUAGUAAUGAAUAGCCUAGUAAGAGCACCAGUGGUAGGG